GUCCACGCCUUAAACGAUGAUCACUUGGUGUUGGAGGUAUUGACCCCUUCAGUGCCGGAGCUAACGCGUUAAGUGAUCCGCCUGGGAAGUACGGUCGCAAGAUUAAAACUCAAAGAAAUUGACGGGGGCCCGCACAAGCGGUGGAGCAUGUGGUUUAAUUCGAUGCAACGCGCAAAACCUUACCUGGCCUUGACAUGUAACGAACUUUCCAGAGAUGGAUUGGUGCUCGAAAGAGAGCGUUAACACAGGUGCUGCAUGGCUGUCGU
rnacentral:rRNA from 1 species